ensembl:lncRNA
CCCCAGCGCUCCCCGGUGCAGAGCAGCAGCGGUGCAGCCAAGCCGGGCCCUGGGCCCCCCCUGCAGGUCACAGCGUGGGGCAGGAGGUGCAGCAGCUGCAGCAGGUCCCGGUGCAACACGUCUACACGGGGGGCCGGUGCAGUACGUGGAGGGCGGCGAUGGGACCUACAGCGCCGGCACCAUCCGCUCGGGCUCCUACUCGUACAGCGAAGCCCCCCUGUACGCCCCCCCAGCGGCACCUCCUACUACGACCCCCCCGGCGGUGGGGUGCAGCCCAGCCCCCCCCCCCCAGCACUCAGGCGGCCCCCAGCAGCGCCGCCGUCCCAUGUAUGUGGCGGGGGGCAAAUCAUCGCCACCCCCCCGGAGGAGGAACCACCGGCACCACCGGGACCACCACCACGCGGCGGCGGCGGCGGCGGCCACGGGCAGCGGGGGGGGCACCUACGUCAUCCAGGGGGGGUACAUGUUGGGGGGGCCGGGCAGGCCUAUUCGCACACGACGAGAGCGUCGCCCGCCACGGUGAGGAGUUGGGGGG